AUACGAAGGGGGCAAGCGUUGUUCGGAAUAACUGGGCGUAAAGCGCACGUAGGCGGAUUGUUUAGUUAGAGGUGAAAUCCCAGGGCUCAACCCUGGAACUGCCUUUAAUACUGGCAGUCUAGAGACCGAGAGAGGUGAGUGGAAUUCCGAGUGUGGAGGUGAAAUUCGUAGAUAUUCGGAGGAACACCAGUGGCGAAGGCGGCUCACUGGCUCGGUACUGACGCUGAGGUGCGAAAGCGUGGGGAGCAAACAGGAUUAGAAACCCUAGUAGUCC
rnacentral:rRNA from 1 species